GACGAACGCUGGCGGCGUGCUUAACACAUGCAAGUCGAACGGAAACGCCGUGCUUUCGUGCGGUUCCCGAGUGGCGAACGGGUGAGUAACACGUGAGUAACGUACCCUUCACUUUGGGAUAACUUCAGGAAACUGGGGCUAAUACCGGAUAGGAGCUCCCGCUGCAUGGUGGGGGUUGGAUCGUUUCGCCGGUUGGGGAUGGAAUCGCGGCUUAUCGGCUUGUUGGUUGGGUAGUGGCUGACCAAGCCUGUGACCGGUAGCCGGCCUGGGAGGGUGACCGGCCCCGUGGCGCCUGGGAUAGGGCGCAGACUGCAAUAGUAGGCAACGGGGGAGAAGAUUACACAGUGGGAGGAGGCGUGAGCAGACAACGCCGCGCGUGGAAAGACGGCAUGGGGGUAGUGAACCGCAUCCGCUUGAGACGAAGCGUUAGUGACGGUAAUGUGUGAAUAAGCACCGGCUAACUACGUG
rnacentral:rRNA from 1 species